UACGAAGGGGGCUAGCGUUGUUCGGAAUUACUGGGCGUAAAGCGCACGUAGGCGGAUUAGCAAGUCAGGGGUGAAAUCCCGGGGCUCAACCUCGGAACUGCCUUUGAUACUGCUAGUCUAGAGUCCGGAAGAGGUGGGUGGAAUUCCUAGUGUAGAGGUGAAAUUCGCAGAUAUUAGGAAGAACACCAGUGGCGAAGGCGGCCCACUGGUCCGGAACUGACGCUGAGGUGCGAAAGCGUGGGGAGCAAACAGG
rnacentral:rRNA from 1 species